AGGCACGUAUGUCAAUGGUAGACAGCCACCCUUACAAGGUGGAAGUUGUGGGUUCGAGCCCCACCGUGCCUA
rnacentral:tRNA from 1 species